UACGUAGGGCGCAAGCGUUAUCCGGAAUGAUUGGGCGUAAAGCGUCCGCAGGUGGCAAUGUAAGUCUGCUGUCAAAGCGUCUGGCUCAACCAGAUACAGGCAGUGGAAACUACAUAGCUAGAGUAAGGUAGGGGUAGAGGGAAUUCCUGGUGUAGCGGUGAAAUGCGUAGAGAUCAGGAAGAACACCGGUGGCGAAGGCGCUCUGCUGGACCUUAACUGACACUGAGGGACGAAAGCUAGGGGAGCGAAUGGG
rnacentral:rRNA from 1 species